rnacentral:rRNA from 1 species
UACGAAGGGGGCUAGCGUUGCUCGGAAUCACUGGGCGUAAAGGGUGCGUAGGCGGUUCUUUAAGUCAGGGGUGAAAUCCUGGAGCUCAACUCCAGAACUGCCUUUGAUACUGAAGAUCUUGAGUUCGGGAGAGGUGAGUGGAACUGCGAGUGUAGAGUUGAAAUUCGUAGAUAUUCGCAAGAACACCAGUGGCGAAGGCGGCUCACUGGCCCGAUACUGACGCUGAGGCACGAAAGCGUGGGGAGCAAACAGG